GAUUAUAUUACAAAAUUUGCAACUAGACAAAAAGAAAUCAUUUUGUUGAUUUUGCAAUCUUAAAUGUUUAAAGAAGCAUUUAAAGAGUAUCGAUAGUUCUUAAAAGCGAAUAUGAACACAAAAUACAAGCAGCAAUGGACACUAUUUAUAGCAUAUAAAGCUCGGUAGGAGUUCUUCCAGUUUAAGAAACUAAAAAAGUGGGUAACAAUGGUAGAUUAAAGCACA
rnacentral:lncRNA from 1 species